UUGAGACUGCAUGCCGGGAUCGAUACCUGUUGGUAACAACCCAACUCUCAUUUGCUGGGAAUGAACCUCGCUUUGAAGCGGUUGAUGCUGAUGGUGUUCACCCCAUCACUGAGCAGUAUGGGUCAGAGUGUGGCUACAUGUUCAGUAUCCUCCCUCUGCCUGGCCAUGCUCAACUCAGAGCCUCCUACUUCUCCUGCCACACUGACAACCAGGACGAUGAGGUGUUCACUUUUAGCUUUAACUUAAUCACGAUUGAUGCGACUGGAGUGGAAGCCACCUACUCUGUGAAUUCAACCUGCUCCCUCCCUCUACCCUGGUCCCCCAGAGAAGUCAGCUGU